UUGCUUGGGCAGUACAUAACUACUAAAAUUUGUAUGGUACAGAUAAUAUCAGCAUGUUCCUGAGAAAAGAUGACACGCAAAAUCGUGAUGCGUUGCACAUUUUU